UGCUUGGGAAACUGCCCAGUCGUGGGGGACAACCAUUGGAAACGAUGGCUAAUACCGCAUACGCCCUACGGGGAAAGAAGGGACCUUCGGGCCUUUCGCGAUUGGAUGUGCCCAAGUGGGAUUAGCUAGUUGGUGAGGUAAUGGCUCACCAAGGCGACGAUCUAUAGCUGGUCUGAGAGGAUGAUCAGCCACACUGGGACUGAGACACGGCCCAGACUCCUACGGGAGGCAGCAGUGGGGAAUAUUGGACAAUGGGCGAAAGCCUGAUCCAGCAACGCCGCGUGAAUGAUGAAGGCCUUA
rnacentral:rRNA from 1 species